CAUAGCGACUAUCGUGGCAUAUCAAUAAGCGGAGGAAAAGAAACUAACAAGGAUUCCCCUUAGUAACGGCGAGUGAAGCGGGAAGAGCUCAAAUUUGAAAUCUUCAAGGGUUUACCUUUACGAAUUGUAGUUUAAAGAAGUGUUUUCUGUUGGAGUUUUGGUAAAAGUUCUUUGGAAUAGGACAUCAUAGAGGGUGAGAAUCCCGUAUUUGACCAUUAUUUUCAGCUGUGUGAUACACUUUCAAAGGAGUCGGAUUGUUUGGGAAUGCAGUCCAAAAUGGGUGGUAAAUUUCAUCUAAAGCUAAAUAUUGGCGAGAGACCGAUAGCGAACAAGUACCGUGAGGGAAAGAUGAAAAGAACUUUGAAAAGAGAGUUAAACAGUACGUGAAAUUGUCAAAAGGGAAGCGUUUGACACCAGUGUUGUUUAGUUGAAAAUCAAUUCAAUAAUUUUUGAUUCUAAGUAGUAUUGACUUCAUCAGCUUGCUGCUUUCUUCUCAGGAAAUUAUUGAAUGCACUUUUCAGUUAACAAGUCAACAUCAAUUUCUUUUGUUGUAAAAGGGUAAGAGGAAGGUGGCUUACGCUUCGGCGUAAGUGUUUAUAGCCUUUUACCUCUGCAAUCGGAGAGAUUGAGGACAGCAGCGUAGACUCUUCGGGGUUAGAUACACUUGUGCUAAGCUAUAGCCUUGUAUAGACAACUUGUUGACUAUGCUCAGUCAUGUAGCUUACUCGCUUGUGCUAUUUUACCUACGCUUAGGAUGUUGACGCGCGUGUGUGCGUG
rnacentral:rRNA from 1 species